GUAAAAGCGUUGAACUAAAAAAGUAACUGGUUGUUUAGGAAGUUGAGAGACUUAGUGGAUGGUGCAAACUAAGCCGAGCAUUCAGUGAAUUACAAUUAGGGAGCUGACUUCUGUCCGGCAAUGCCGUUAAUCAAAUGAGUGAACAAAAAUUUUUUUGUUAAUCAGGGUGGUACCGCGGAGCUUCCGUCCCUUUU
rnacentral:ncRNA from 1 species